CGCCGCCCUCGCAAGGCGGAGGCCCCGGGUUCGAAUCCCGGCGGGUCCA
rnacentral:rRNA from 1 species